CCAAGAUUAUAACAUACAGACCCUACAGAAGGCCUACGUUUGAUCUGAACGAUGUUUAUGACCCUAAGGGAAAAUUUUAGAACUUGGGCUCACACAGCUUACAUGGCCAGCCCAUGUGGCCCACACAGUCCAGCACACGAUCUCAGACACGCUUGUGUGACCUACACAUCGUUGUGGCCCAAACAGCCCAAUUGGCCUAGACCGUGUGUCUCAUACGGUCUGGCACACAACUGUGUGUCGACGCCACAAUCCCUUUUUUUGACU
rnacentral:lncRNA from 1 species